AUGCCUAAAUGGACAUGCCUUUUGGUCCCGAAACAUUGGAUCUGCAUUUGUUAUCACAUAAACAAAAGAAAAUGGAUGUUGUUUAAACUAGGGUUCAUAAGGGAUAUCUCUUCAUCUCCUUCUCUUAAACAAACCGCGACACUUUCUCCUCUCCAUAUCCAUUCUCCCCUUCACCAGAUCCUGACUCCAACUCUCAUAAUCUCAAACAAAACGCAAAGCCUAGAUCUAACCAAAAACAAAAUUAAACAAACACAUAAACAUUUCCAGAUGCCAAACCUUGGGGAUAAAGCUCAGAGAGACUCAAAAUUCAUUACAGUAUGCAGAAACACUCAAGAAGACAAAAGAAAGGGAGAAACAAAUCUUACCUACUGGAGACAAGUCCGGAGCUUCUUCAUAGAUGGUGAGAUUGACGAUUAA